GAGUUUGAUCCUGGCUCAGGACGAACGCUGGCGGCGUGCUUAACACAUGCAAGUCGAACGGUGAUGUCAGAGCUUGCUCUGGCGGAUCAGUGGCGAACGGGUGAGUAACACGUGAGUAACCUGCCCCCGACUCUGGGAUAACUGCUAGAAAUGGUAGCUAAUACCGGAUAUGACGACUGGCCGCAUGGUCUGGUCGUGGAAAGAAUUUCGGUUGGGGAUGGACUCGCGGCCUAUCAGGUUGUUGGUGAGGUAAUGGCUCACCAAGCCUACGACGGGUAGCCGGCCUGAGAGGGUGACCGGCCACACUGGGACUGAGACACGGCCCAGACUCCUACGGGAGGCAGCAGUGGGGAAUAUUGCACAAUGGGCGCAAGCCUGAUGCAGCAACGCCGCGUGAGGGAUGACGGCCUUCGGGUUGUAAACCUCUUUUAGUAGGGAAGAAGCGAAAGUG
rnacentral:rRNA from 1 species